rnacentral:rRNA from 1 species
GACGAACGCUGGCGGCGUGCUUAACACAUGCAAGUCGAACGAUGAUGCUGGAGCUUGCUCCAGUUGAUUAGUGGCGAACGGGUGAGUAACACGUGAGCAAUCUGCCCUUGACUCUAGGAUAACUGCGGGAAACUGUAGCUAAUACCGGAUACUUUCACCGGAAGGCAUCUUUUGGUGAUGAAAGAAUUUCGGUCAGGGAUGAGCUCGCGGCCUAUCAGCUUGUUGGUGAGGUAACGGCCCACCAGGGCGGCGACGGGUAACCGGCCUGAGAGGGGGACGGGUCACACGGGGAAUGAGACACGGCCCAGCCUCCUACGGGAGGCAGAAGUGGGAAAUAUUGCACAAGGGGGGCAAGCCUGACGCAGCAACGCCGCGUGAGGGAUGAAGGCCUUCGGGUUGUAACCCUCUUUCAGCACCGACGAAGCGCAAGUGACGGUAGGUGCAGAAGAAGGACCGGCCAACUACGUGCCAGCAGCCGCAGUAA